rnacentral:rRNA from 1 species
AACGAACGCUGGCGGCAUGCUUAACACAUGCAAGUUGAACGGAUAGAGAUAUUAGUAGCGAACGGGUGAGUAACACGUGGGAAUUUGGCUUAUAGUCGUGGAUAGCUAUUGGAAACGGUAGGUAAUACAGGAUGAGUUGGAGACAAGAAAGGAGUGAUCUGCUAUAAGAUGAGCCCGCGGAUGAUUAGCUAGUUGGUGUGGUAAGAGCAUACCAAGGCGAAGAUCAAUAGCUGUUCUGAGAGGGAGAUCAGCCACAUUGGGACUGAGACACGGCCCAAACUCCUACGGGAGGCAGCAGUGGGGAAUAUUGGACAAUGGGGGGAACCCUGAUCCAGCAAUGCCGCGUGAAUGAAGAAGGCCUUAGGGUUGUAAAGUUCUUUUACUGAUGAAGAAGGAGACGGUAAUCAGAGAAUAAGUCCCGGCAAACUUCGUGCCAGCAGCCGCAGUAA